GGCUGGUCCAAGGGCAGAGGUGUUUACAACUAACUGAUCACAGCCAGUUACAGAUUUCUUUGUCCUUUUCCACGCCCACGGCUUCAUUUGACUAGCCUAA
rnacentral:Y_RNA from 10 species